rnacentral:rRNA from 1 species
UACGUAGGGUGCAAGCGUUAAUCGGAAUUACUGGGCGUAAAGCGCGCGCAGGCGGUCCUUUAAGUCUGAUGUGAAAGCCCACGGCUCAACCGUGGAGGGUCAUUGGAAACUGGGGGACUUGAGUACAGAAGAGAAGAGUGGAAUUCCACGUGUAGCGGUGAAAUGCGUAGAUAUCGGGAGGAACACCAGUGGCGAAGGCGACUACCUGGCCUGUUCUUGACGCUGAGGCGCGAAAGCUAGGGGAGCAAACGGG